AAAAUGACUCUCGGCAACGGAUAUCUCGGCUCUCGCAUCGAUGAAGAACGUAGCAAACUGCGAUACUUGGUGUGAAUUGCAGAAUCCCGUGAACCAUCGAGUCUUUGAACGCAAGUUGCGCCCGAAGCCAUCCGGCCGAGGGCACGUCUGCCUGGGCGUCACGC
rnacentral:rRNA from 1 species